rnacentral:rRNA from 1 species
GACGAACGCUGGCGGCGUGCCUAAUACAUGCAAGUCGAACGCAGUGGGGACGGGUGAGUAACACGUGGGUAACCUCCCAUCAGAGGGGAUAACACUUGGAAACAGGUGCUAAACCGAUACUGAUGGAUGGACCCGCGGUGCAUUAGCUAGUUGGUGAGGUAACGGCUCACCAAGGCCACGAUGCAUAGGCGACCUGAGGGGGAGGUCGGCCAAACCGGGAAUGAGAAAAGGCCCAGACGCCCAAGGGAGGGAGGAGUAGGGAAUCUUCGGAAAGGGAGGAAAGUCUUAACGAGCAACGCCGCGUGAGUGAAGGAGGUUUUCGGAUCGUAAAACUAUGUUGUUAGAGGAGCGGUAUCUAACCGGAAAGCCACGGCUAACUACGUGCCCGCAGGCGCGGUAAUAC